GCCCCUUUUAUAUUGUACUACU
rnacentral:miRNA from 8 species